CCAUCUAUUCAAAUCCUCAUCCAUACUUGAAAACGAUCCUGGCCUCAAAUUUCCAAAGCCCUCUCUCCUUCCCUUUUUGCCCUAGUUUCUUGAAACUAACACUCGCCUCUCUCUUUCCCUUCAUGCACAAAGAUGGAACUUGACGACUAAGAACCUGCGAUAAAGAACAAACGAUGCUGAAGCUAGGAACACUAGGGUUCUGGUGUCGCUGCAGUUGCAUUUAACCCUACUUAUUGAAGGGUAAUACAUGUUUCCUUAUGAUCCAUACGAGAGACCUAUUACUGGAUCUAGAGUUCAACGUUAGGAAUCCUCCUUAGAGCCUAUUGUCCUACACAUCCAAUUUUGGUUGGAAUGCAAACAGUGUGUGUGGGUUACAGAAGUCAAUAAAAUCUCUCCAGCUAAUGAUUAUUUAAUGGGUGGAUCUAUUUCGGCGGGUAGUCUACAAACAUCUUAGCCUGACAUUGAACAGUCAAAACGAGUAGUUUUUGACACAUUUGGUUCACCGAGUAAAUGAGUCAUCUGCUUCCGCGGAAUUGUGCACAAUGCUAUCAAGUUUUGGUGGGAGGCUGGUGGCUAUACACAGAGUGUUGUUUCACUAAAACAAUGUGAUCGCGGUUCCAGAUGCUAAUUUUCAUUCUCUCCCUUCCACUCGGCACAAACAACACUAUAUCCUUAGAUUAGAUAACAUGACUACUAGAAGGUACAAAUGUCAGGAGGCGAAAGCAUAUGUAAGAUUAUCACGUGAUAUGUUGGGAAAAGGAAUAAGUCAACCCCGGUAAAUAUUGGACAUAUUACACGUCGGACACUAAAUAGGGUGAUAUAGGCAAAAUCCUAGUUUGUUGAAAACUAAAAUCUAAGUUGGAGAUGAAGUUUUCCACAAAAGCAUUCUAAACUCUACCGAGACUAUAGCAAGAGGAAGGGUCUAGAGCUUGGACCCAAAUGAUCUAGUUGGUGGUACAAAGAUUGAACCAGAAUGGUGUGAGGUAAACGCUCAAGUACCAAUAAAAAAUAUUAAAACUUGGUAAAACCAUAUGGUUUAUUUUCUACAAUUCAAGAUUGUAUUAGUGCAUCAUCCAUCGCAUGGCCCUAUCCAUUCAUCUCGGUAGUUCAUGAGGAUUGAGGACGCAUGAUGACUCAAGAUUUUAUGCUUCUUUUUUCUUUAAUUGCUUUAAUUUCUUUGUUAAAUGUUAAGAUUUUAUGUCAGAUAAUGUUAUAACUUAUUUAUGGUUAGUGUUUUUGUUAUGAACAUGCUUAUUUGAAAUAUAAUGAAGUUUUAUUUCUU
rnacentral:lncRNA from 1 species